rnacentral:misc_RNA from 1 species
GUGAAUCAUCAAAUUUUUGAACGCAAAUUGCACUCUCCGGUUUUCCGGGGGAUUAUGCCUGUUUGGGCGUCUAUUUAAAAAAUAAUCGAGUCUUCCGCUGUGGUGGCGCUUCGGAAUUGGGUCAUCUUACACCUUUCGGGUUUGUAAGCGACCUAAAAUUUUUCUUACGAUUUUUAAGAACUUGACUAAGAAUUUUUCUUGUACUUUCUCGACAG